UAGAGGAAGUAAAAGUCGUAACAAGGUCUCCGUUGGUGAACCAGCGGAGGGAUCAUUGCUGGAACGCGCCUCGGCGCACCCAGAAACCCUUUGUGAACUUAUACCUAUCUGUUGCCUCGGCGCAGGCCGGCCCCCUCACCGGGGCCCCCUGGAGACAGGGAGCAGCCCGCCGGCGGCCAACCAAACUCUUGUUUCUACAGUGAAUCUCUGAGUAAAAAAACAUAAAUGAAUCAAAACUUUCAACAACGGAUCUCUUGGUUCUGGCAUCGAUGAAGAACGCAGCGAAAUGCGAUAAGUAAUGUGAAUUGCAGAAUUCAGUGAAUCAUCGAAUCUUUGAACGCACAUUGCGCCCUCUGGUAUUCCGGAGGGCAUGCCUGUUCGAGCGUCAUUUCAACCCUCAAGCCUGGCUUGGUGAUGGGGCACUGCCUGUGAAAGGGCAGGCCCUGAAAUCUAGUGGCGAGCUCGCCAGGACCCCGAGCGUAGUAGUUAUAUCUCGCUCUGGAAGGCCCUGGCGGUGCCCUGCCGUUAAACCCCCAACUUCUGAAAAUUUUGACCUCGGAUCAGGUAGGAAUACCCGCUGAACUUAAGCAUAU
rnacentral:rRNA from 1 species